rnacentral:rRNA from 1 species
GAUCCUGGCUCAGGAUGAACGCUAGCUACAGGCUUAACACAUGCAAGUCGAGGGGCAGCAGGGAUUUAGCUUGCUAAAUCCGCUGGCGACCGGCGCACGGGUGCGUAACGCGUAUCCAACUUUCCCGUUACUCAGGGAUAGCCUUCCGAAAGGGAGAUUAAUACCUGAUGGUGUUUGAAAAUUCGCAUGUUCUUCAAACUAAAGAUUUAUCGGUAACGGAUAGGGAUGCGUGACAUUAGAUAGUAGGCGGGGUAACGGCCCACCAUGGCGACGAUGUCUAGGGGUUCUGAGAGGAAGGUCCCCCACACUGGAACUGAGACACGGUCCAGACUCCUACGGGAGGCAGCAGUGAGGAAUAUUGGUCAAUGGUCUGACGACUGAACCAGCCAUGCCGCGUGAAGGUGACGGCCCUAUGGGUCUUAAACUUCUUUUGCAAGGGAGCAAUAAGGCGUACGUGUACGUCGAUGAGAGUACCUUGCGAAUAAGCAUCGGCUAACUCCGUG